GAUGAACGCUGGCGGCGUGCCUAAUACAUGCAAGUAGAACGCUGAAGGAGGAGCUUGCUCUUCUGGAUGAGUUGCGAACGGGUGAGUAACGCGUAGGUAACCUGCCUGGUAGCGGGGGAUAACUAUUGGAAACGAUAGCUAAUACCGCAUGACAACAGUUAUUGCAUGAUAACUGUUUAAAAGGGGCAACUGCUCCACUACCAGAUGGACCUGCGUUGUAUUAGCUAGUUGGUGAGGUAACGGCUCACCAAGGCGACGAUACAUAGCCGACCUGAGAGGGGGGUCGGCCACAAUGGGAAUGAGAAACGGGCCCGACUCCCACGGGAGGGAGCAGGAGGGGAUCUUCGGCAAUUGACGGGAGUCUGGCCGGGCAAAGCCGCGGUGGUGAAGAAGGUUUUCGGAUCGUAAAGCUCUGUUGUAAGAGAAGAACGAGUGUGAGAGUGGAAAGUUCACACUGUGACGGUAUCUUACCAGAAAGGGACGGCUAACUACGUG
rnacentral:rRNA from 1 species